AGGCCCGGGCGCGCGGGGCGGGGACCCGAGACCCACCUGGGGCGCCCCCCGGCGCCACCAGGCUCCGCGUCUUGGGUCUCGGUAAGCGCUCCGGGAUAGAGCAGGGCUAGGGGACGCUCCGCUCUGCAGGCGCAGCGCGGGCCGGGCGUCCGGUGCAGGAAAGGGUCCCUACGCCCGAAAUUGCGCGCGGGCGGUGGGUGGGGAGGAGAGUGAAAACCCAAGUGGUAACUUCCAGCCUCGGAUGACUGCCGGGUGGGCUUUGCGUGCUCUUUUUUGUUUGUUUCAUGUUCUUAUCACGAAGCUCUAGUUGCUGGGCAGCCGCCCCCGUCCCGGAAGCACUCCCACGGCAGUCAGCGAAGCAGGCCUGUUGUCCAUCAGAAAAGUGACUUGUAUAAAAAUGUCACUUCCUCCCUGUAAUUGCUUGUGGGCAUUUUUAUUUAUUUGCCUUGCAUCUAUUUACUUUCCCAACCAGACACGUUUUUAGUCCAUCAUCCCGUCCGAGGCACUCCCUAAAAGAAGGAGAGGAAACUCGACCUCUGUUGCCUCGCAGGCAUCCAGGCCAGCCCCAGCCAGUGGAAUCCUGGUUGCACACCCGUGGGGCAAAACCCGAAGAGGAGCUGCCCGAAUGGGCCCCUAGAAGUGUCGAUAUGAACGCCCUGAGGGCAGGAGCCAAGCCUGGUUUUCCUGUACAGCCCCGACCCUUCUUCUGCCUACCCAGUAUAGAGAAGACACUUUGCAAAUCUUUCACGAUGGAUGGAAAUUCCACACUUAUGAGUGUGUCGAAGAGGAGAGUGAGCAUUAGUGAAGAGACUUAAAAAGAGGCCAUCAGGAACUCACUCUGAGAAUCUCAAAACAGAUACUGGUGGACUUACAGAAUUUUGGAUUUCCUUUCACCUACAUGACCACAUGGGGAAGGAAAAAGUGUUAAGACAGCACAGUGAUUUCAUACCCAAACUACAAAGUACCUUCCCACGACCUCUUCAGACCCGAGUGGGGGCAGCUUAGAAACCCAUAAAACCCAUCCCUCAGUGACUGGCAAGAUUAACUUUUUAUAAACCACCACUACAAAGAGUUAAAUUUCAUACACACCCAAAAAGUCGGGUGCCCUCUAUGGAUGAUCAAUACGAUUCUCCUGCUUCUAAGAAUUGUGAUCUGAACUUCAGGAAGUAACUGUGCUCUAAUUGUAUAAAUAAAGGAAAAGCAGAUGAAGUAACUGAAUGUAUG
rnacentral:lncRNA from 13 species